rnacentral:lncRNA from 1 species
AGUCUAUAGCAUAUCUAAAAUACAUAUAAAAGAAUCAUAUAAUUCUUUAAUAAAAUUUAUUGAAAUCACAAUUAUCAAUUAUAAUUACUAAUCAAACAUUGCUAUAUUAAGUUAUUUUGUUUAAAUCUAAAUGGAUGUGUAUUUAUCUAAUACACAUAAACGGACAAAUAUAUAUACAUUAUAUGCAUAUAAUCAAUUUACUAACAUAAUCAUUAACUGCAUAUACUAAUUUCUAUAGUACUUAUUGUUCGCAUUUCAUCGGAUCCAUUUAAAUAUAAUUGUUCAAAUACAUAUACCAAAAGCAUAAUUUUUAUACUUAUCAACUAUAAGUGCCGAAUGCACAUAUACACCUAUACCCACCUAUGCCGAAUGCAUACAUAUAUACACACAUAUAUAUAUCCAACAAUUUCAUGACAACCGAUAUAUAUAUACAUACUUACUAUUCACAAAGAUUCGAACGAUUAUAUAAUCAUCAACCACCUUGAUACAAUGUUCAUAAACUUAUCCAUUUCAUAUAAACAAAAUCAUAUAUAUUUAUACCCAAUACAUAGAAUCACUUAAUUUAAACAGAUUCAACGGUACUUAGCCUGCUAGGCUUGUAGCCUGAUUCAGAUCACCGGCACGUAGCCUGCUAGGUUUAUAACCUGAUUCAGAUCACCGGCACGUAGCCUGCUAGACUUAAAGUCUGAAAAAUUCACUGGCAUUAAGCCUGUUAGGUACAAAACCUGAAUAUCACAAAUACGAGAAUAAUUUCUCAUAUAACCCUUACUGGCAUUACACAUGUUUAAAACAUAUACGUAUAAUUCAUGUAGCAUUAACCACAUUUUCAAGAAAUUGGCAGACCAUAGCUUAGUUAUACCUGUACUUACAAUCCAUACUUUUAGCUCAAUACAAAUAAUUGUAUACGUUUAUACCUAUUCAAACCACACUUAUUCCAUAAUAUAUAGUUCAUACCUUAAAUUCAAUUCCAAAAAUUUAUAGAAUUAUAUACAUAUAUAUAUUGAGACUUCAUAUACAUAUUUUCAUAACUUCCAUACUUCAAUCAAAUUCAAAAACCCUAUAUAUUUAUAUACACAUAUAUUCGAACAAUAUAUAAAUAUCUUUAAUUCAUAACAUUAGAUUCAGUUCACAGUAAUUGAAACAUACCUUCGAACCACUUAUAUAUAUAUUCGCACCAUAUAUAUGUAUUAUACAUACCUUUGCUUAAAAUCAAGGAUUUAUACCUAUGCAACAUUCAUACUUUAACUAAUUUCAAUAACUUAUAUAUAUAUAUGUAUAUAUAUCCUAGCAUUAUAUAUACAUAUACAUAUACAUGCUUAUUCAAAUAUCAACUAUACUCUUAUACAUUUCUUACCUUUAUUUCAACCCAUAAAUCUAUACAAGAUUAUACUUGUAUAUUCGAACAUGCUAUAUAUAUAAAUAUCAUCCAUACUUCAAAAUUUAUUCAAUCAAUAUAUUUUUAAAUAUAGCUCAACACAAAAUACAAUUAGUAUACAUGUAUAAAUAUUAACUUAAUAACUUUUAAUUGCUAAUAGACUUACCUCGGAUAUCAGCGGACACGAUCGACUAUUCGAUUACUUUCGUUUUUCCCCGAUCCAAAUUCGUUUUCUU